AGUGAACGCUGGCGGUAGGCCUAACACAUGCAAGUCGAGCGGCAGCACAGUAAGAGCUUGCUCUUACGGGUGGCGAGUGGCGGACGGGUGAGGAAUACAUCGGAAUCUACUUUUUCGUGGGGGAUAACGUAGGGAAACUUACGCUAAUACCGCAUACGACCUACGGGUGAAAGCAGGGGAUCUUCGGACCUUGCGCGAUUGAAUGAGCCGAUGUCGGAUUAGCUAGUUGGCGGGGUAAAGGCCCACCAAGGCGACGAUCCGUAGCUGGUCUGAGAGGAUGAUCAGCCACACUGGAACUGAGACACGGUCCAGACUCCUACGGGAGGCAGCAGUGGGGAAUAUUGGACAAUGGGCGCAAGCCUGAUCCAGCCAUACCGCGUGGGUGAAUAAGGCCUUCGGGUUGUAAAGCCCUUUUGUUGGGAAAGAAAAGCAGCAGGUUAAUACCCCGCUGUUCUGACGGUACCCAAAGAAUAAGCACCGGCUAACUUCGUG
rnacentral:rRNA from 1 species